GGGUCAUAUCAGAAAGAUAUGUUUGAUGAAAUUAACUACAGAAUCAAGAAGUAUAUACUCAAAAACGCAAAUACUACAAUAUAUAAGACAGUGCUGGAGUGCAAUGGUGCAAUCUUGGCUCACUGCAACCUCCGCCUCCUGGGUUCAAAUGAUUCUCCUGCCUCAGCCUCCUAAGUAGCUGGGACUACAGACCACAACCAAUUGCUCCUCCUUCCCAUUGAAAGAAACCCAGGCUGUACCUGCUCUUUCAUCUCCUCUGUGGAAAACAUCUAUCGGCUGGAAGCCCUGAGUCUUCAUUUUCAAGGAUUUUAGUUGUAAGCUGUUUAAGGCAUAAGCUAAAGUUUCAGGCAGAGGUAAUUUUAGUAGUUAAGCCUGAUUUUUACUUCCACCCUCUGUCCUCCAGGGCCAUAUGGGAAGCUUUCUGUGAGUGGAUAAGCUCUUUAGCUAAGAUGUAAACAUGUUCCCUGGUAUCUGAUAAAGGUUCCUGGAGACUGACACUUUAAAAAAAAAAAAAAAAAGAAAGUGAGGAAAAGAAGAAAAGGAGAAACUGAAUCCAAGGUUUACAAAGGGAUUAGAAAACUGUACCCCAGAUGGAAAAUUUUAUGGGCUCUGGAGAAAAUGUAUAAGUGAAAUAUCGGUAUCAUAAAAUAACAGGAAAUAGUGUAAUCUACCUGAUGGAGAAAAUUGUCACUUUAAAAAAACUAUCCUAAUUUCCUUCAAAAUUGUUCUUGUUUUUGAGCCAAUAAACUUCAGCUAAGCUCA
rnacentral:lncRNA from 1 species